AGGGUGCUCAGAACCCUAUCCAGCCUGCCCUUGCAUGCUUCAAGGAAGGGGGAAUCCACAACCUCACUGGGCAACCUGUUUCAGUGUCUCAUCACCCUCACACAUAAUGUGAGACAAAUUUACACAAGAUGAGAAACCACACAAGAUGAGAACAUCUACGUGUUCAAAAUGCAGACUUCUAGCCUGAUACAGUGAGGAGGGAAGUCUGUAACUGAAAAUUAAUUCAUACUGGAAAGCGCAGUCAAUAGACAAUUACUAAGAUACAGCUUGUGUUUAUUGCUUGAGGAAUUUUACACAAGAUUUAUAACAUCUAAAAGCAAUUACCUUUACAUGUAAAGAACAGUCUAAAAAGAUGAAACUUAAUUAAUCUUGAAGCCUUCAAACAUUCUCUAUCUCCUAUAAAUAAUCAUCAACCAGACAGCAAUAAAUAAAUAAAUAAAGCACGAAUGUC